rnacentral:rRNA from 1 species
ACGGAAGGCAGCAGUGGGGGAUAUUGCACAAUGGGGGAAACCCUGAUGCAGCGACGCCGCGUGAGUGAAGAAGUAUUUCGGUAUGUAAAGCUCUAUCAGCAGGAAAGAUAAUGACGGUACCUGACUAAGAAGCACCGGCUAAAUACGUGCCAGCAGCCGCGGUAAUACGUAUGGUGCAAGCGUUAUCCGGAUUUACUGGGUGUAAAGGGAGCGCAGGCGGUCCUGCAAGCCAGAGGUGAAAACCCGGGGCUCAACCCCGUGAUUGCCUUUGGAACUGUAGGACUUGAGUACUGGAGGGGCAGGCGGAAUUCCUGGUGUAGCGGUGAAAUGCGUAGAUAUCAGGAGGAACACCGGUGGCGAAGGCGGCCUGCUGGACGGCAACUGACGUUGAGGCUCGAAAGCGUGGGGAGCAAACAGGAUUAGAUACCCUGGUA